CCGGCGCACGGGUGAGUAACACGUAUCCAACCUGCCGUCUACUCUUGGCCAGCCUUCUGAAAGGAAGAUUAACCCAGGAUGGCAUCAUGAGUUCACAUGUCCGCAUGAUUAAAGGUAUUUUCCGGUAGACGAUGGGGAUGCGUUCCAUUAGAUAGUAGGCGGGGUAACGGCCCACCUAGUCAACGAUGGAUAGGGGUUCUGAGAGGAAGGUCCCCCACAUUGGAACUGAGACACGGUCCAA
rnacentral:rRNA from 1 species